UUUCCUCGGGACGCAGCAGUGGGGGAUAUUGCACAAUGGAGGAAACUCUGAUGCAGCGACGCCGCGUGAGGGAAGACGGUCUUCGGAUUGUAAACCUCUGUCCUUGGGGAAGAAAAUGACGGUACCCAAAGAGGAAGCUCCGGCUAACUACGUGCCAGCAGCCGCGGUAAUACGUAGGGAGCGAGCGUUGUCCGGAAUUACUGGGUGUAAAGGGAGCGUAGGCGGGCGAGAAAGUUGAAUGUUAAAUCUACCGGCUUAACUGGUAGCUGCGUUCAAAACUUCUUGUCUUGAGCGAAGUAGAGGCG
rnacentral:rRNA from 1 species